GGGUAGUAAAGUGCGCGUAGGCGGUUUUUAAGUCAGAGGUGAAAGCCCGGGGCUCAACCCCGGAAUUGCCUUUGAAACUGGAAAACUUGAAUCUUGGAGAGGUCAGUGGAAUUCCGAGUGUAGAGGUGAAAUUCGUAGAUAUUCGGAAGAACACCAGUGGCGAAGGCGACUGACUGGACAAGUAUUGACGCUGAGGUGCGAAAGCGUGGGGAGCAAACAGGAUUAGAUACCCCUGGUAAGUCCACGCCGUAAACGAUGAUAACUAGCUGUCCGGGUUUAUAGAACCUUGGGUAGGCGCAGCUAACGCAUUAAGUUAUCCGCCUGGGGAGUACGGUCGCAAGAUUAAAACU
rnacentral:rRNA from 1 species